rnacentral:rRNA from 1 species
GAUGAACGCUGGCGGUAUGCUUAACACAUGCAAGUCGAACGGACUCUUCGGAGUUAGUGGCGGACGGGUGAGUAACGCGUGAGAAUCUGGCUUUGGGUUCGGGACAACCACUGGAAACGGUGGCUAAUACCGGAUGUGCCGAGAGGUAAAAGAGAAAUUGCCUGAAGAUGAGCUCGCGUCUGAUUAGCUAGUUGGUGAGGUAAAGGCUCACCAAGGCAGCGAUCAGUAGCUGGUCUGAGAGGAUGACCAGCCACACUGGGACUGAGACACGGCCCAGACUCCCACGGGGGGCAGCAGUGGAGAAUUUUCCGCAAGGGGCGAACGCCUGACGGAGCCAUACCGCGUGAGGGAAGAAGGCUCUUGGGUUGUAAACCUCUUUCCUUAGGGAAGAACAAAGUGACGGUACCUAAUGAAUAAGCAUCGGCUAACUACGUG